rnacentral:rRNA from 1 species
AGAGUUUGAUCCUGGCUCAGAGCGAACGCUGGCGGCAGGCUUAACACAUGCAAGUCGAGCGGGCGUAGCAAUACGUCAGCGGCAGACGAGUGAGUAACGCGUGAGAACGUACCUUUUGGUUCGAACAACACAGGGAAACUUGUGCUAAUACCGGAUAAGCCCUUACAGGGAAAGAUUUAUCGCCGAAAGAUCGGCCCGCGUCUGAUUAGCUAGUUGGUGAGGUAACGGCUCACCAAGGCGACGAUCAGUAGCUGGUCUGAGAGGACGAUCAGCCACAUUGGGACUGAGACACGGCCCAAACUCCUACGGGAGGCAGCAGUGGGGAAUAUUGGACAAUGGGCGCAAGCCUGAUCCAGCCAUGCCGCGUGAGUGAUGAAGGCCCUAGGGUUGUAAAGCUCUUUUGUGCGGGAAGAUAAUGACGGUACCGCAAGAAUAAGCCCCGGCUAACUUCGUGCCAGCAGCCGCGGUAAUACGAAGGGGGCUAGCGUUGCUCGGAAUCACUGGGCGUAAAGGGUGCGUAGGCGGGUCUUUAAGUCAGGGGUGAAAUCCUGGAGCUCAACUCCAGAACUGCCUUUGAUACUGAGGAUCUUGAGUUCGGGAGAGGUGAGUGGAACUGCGAGUGUAGAGGUGAAAUUCGUAGAUAUUCGCAAGAACACCAGUGGCGAAGGCGGCUCACUGGCCCGAUACUGACGCUGAGGCACGAAAGCGUGGGGAGCA